rnacentral:rRNA from 1 species
UACGAGGGGGGCAAGCGUUGUUCGGAAUUAUUGGGCGUAAAGGGCGCGUAGGCGGUGCGGUAAGUCUGAUGUGAAAUCUCCGGGCUCAACUCGGAGUCUGCAUCAGAAACUGCCGUGCUCGAGUGUGGGAGAGGUGAGUGGAAUUCCCGGUGUAGCGGUGAAAUGCGUAGAUAUCGGAAGGAACACCUGUGGCGAAAGCGGCUCACUGGACCAUUACUGACGCUGAUGCACGAAAGCGUGGGGAGCGAACAGG